rnacentral:rRNA from 1 species
UACGUAGGGACCAAGCGUUGUCCGGAAUCAUUGGGCGUAAAGCGCGCGUAGGUGGCUUCGUAAGUCCGUUGUGAAAGUCAAAGGCUCAACCUUUGAAAGCCGAUGGAUACUGCGGAGCUGGAGUACGGUAGGGGCAGAGGGAAUUUCCGGUGGAGCGGUGAAAUGCGUAGAGAUCGGAAAGAACACCAACGGCGAAAGCACUCUGCUGGGCCGACACUGACACUGAGAGACGAAAGCUAGGGGAGCGAAUGGG